rnacentral:rRNA from 1 species
UUGAAGAAGGUAUCUUUGGGUCUGGCUCUUGUCUAUGUUUCUUGGAACAGAACGUCACAGAGGGUGAGAAUCCCGUGCGAUGAGAUGACCCAGACCUAUGUAAAGUUCCUUCGAAGAGUCGAGUUGUUUGGGAAUGCAGCUCUAAGUGGGUGGUAAAUUCCAUCUAAAGCUAAAUAUUGGCGAGAGACCGAUAGCGAACAAGUACAGUGAUGGAAAGAUGAAAAGAACUUUGAAAAGAGAGUGAAAAAGUACGUGAAAUUGUUGAAAGGGAAGGGCUUGAGAUCAGACUUGGUAUUUUGUAUGUUACUCUUUCGGGGGUGGCCUCUACAGUUUACCGGGCCAGCAUCAGUUUGGGCGGUAGGAGAAUUGCAAAGAAAUGUGGCACUGCUUCGGUAGUGUGUCAUAGUCUUUGUCGAUACUGCCAGCCUAGACUGAGGACUGCGGCUUCGGCCUAGGAUGUUGGCAUAAUGAUCUUAAGUCGCCCGUCUUGAAACACGGACC